GACGAACGCUGGCGGCGUGCCUAAUACAUGCAAGUCGAACGAACUCUGGUAUUGAUUGGUGCUUGCAUCAUGAUUUACAUUUGAGUGAGUGGCGAACUGGUGAGUAACACGUGGGAAACCUGCCCAGAAGCGGGGGAUAACACCUGGAAACAGAUGCUAAUACCGCAUAACAACUUGGACCGCAUGGUCCGAGUUUGAAAGAUGGCUUCAGCUAUCACUUUUGGAUGGUCCCGCGGCGUAUUAGCUAGAUGGUGGGGUAACGGCUCACCAUGGCAAUGAUACGUAGCCGACCUGAGAGGGUAAUCGGCCACAUUGGGACUGAGACACGGCCCAAACUCCUACGGGAGGCAGCAGUAGGGAAUCUUCCACGAUGGACGAAAGUCUGAUGGAGCAACGCCGCGUGAGUGAAGAAGGGUUUCGGCUCGUAAAACUCUGUUGUUAAAGAAGAACAUAUCUGAGAGUAACUGUUCAGGUAUUGACGGUAUUUAACCAGAAAGCCACGGCUAACUACGUGCCAGCAGCCGCGGUAAUACGUAGGUGGCAAGCGUUGUCCGGAUUUAUUGGGCGUAAAGCGAGCGCAGGCGGUUUUUUAAGUCUGAUGUGAAAGCCUUCGGCUCAACCGAAGAAGUGCAUCGGAAACUGGGAAACUUGAGUGCAGAAGAGGACAGUGGAACUCCAUGUGUAGCGGUGAAAUGCGUAGAUAUAUGGAAGAACACCAGUGGCGAAGGCGGCUGUCUGGUCUGUAACUGACGCUGAGGCUCGAAAGUAUGGGUAGCAAACAGGAUUAGAUACCCUGGUAGUCCAUACCGUAAACGAUGAAUGCUAAGUGUUGGAGGGUUUCCGCCCUUCAGUGCUGCAGCUAACGCAUUAAGCAUUCCGCCUGGGGAGUACGGCCGCAAGGCUGAAACUCAAAGGAAUUGACGGGGGCCCGCACAAGCGGUGGAGCAUGUGGUUUAAUUCGAAGCUACGCGAAGAACCUUACCAGGUCUUGACAUACUAUGCAAAUCUAAGAGAUUAGACGUUCCCUUCGGGGACAUGGAUACAGGUGGUGCAUGGUUGUCGUCAGCUCGUGUCGUGAGAUGUUGGGUUAAGUCCCGCAACGAGCGCAACCCUUAUUAUCAGUUGCCAGCAUUAAGUUGGGCACUCUGGUGAGACUGCCGGUGACAAACCGGAGGAAGGUGGGGAUGACGUCAAAUCAUCAUGCCCCUUAUGACCUGGGCUACACACGUGCUACAAUGGAUGGUACGACGAGUUGCGAACUCGCGAGAGUAAGCUAAUCUCUUAAAGCCAUUCUCAGUUCGGAUUGUAGGCUGCAACUCGCCUACAUGAAGUCGGAAUCGCUAGUAAUCGCGGAUCAGCAUGCCGCGGUGAAUACGUUCCCGGGCCUUGUACACACCGCCCGUCACACCAUGAGAGUUUGUAACACCCAAAGUCGGUGGGGUAACCUUUUAGGAACCAGCCGCCUAAGGUGGGACAGAUGAUUAGGGUG
rnacentral:rRNA from 2 species